rnacentral:rRNA from 1 species
AUGUCGUACGCCUACCUCUUCAAGUACAUCAUCAUCGGCGACACAGGUGUCGGCAAGUCGUGCCUGCUGCUGCAGUUCACCGACAAGCGCUUCCAGCCCGUCCAUGACCUCACCAUCGGCGUCGAGUUCGGCGCCCGGAUGAUCACCAUCGACAACAAGCCCAUCAAGCUCCAGAUUUGGGACACGGCAGGCCAAGAAUCAUUCAGAUCGAUAACUAGAUCAUACUACAGGGGAGCUGCUGGUGCUCUUUUGGUUUAUGACAUCACCAGGAGGGAAACCUUUAAUCAUCUUGCAAGCUGGCUGGAAGAUGCAAGGCAACAUGCAAACGCCAACAUGACAAUAAUGCUAGUUGGAAACAAAUGUGACCUAUCCCAUAGGCGUGCUGUGAGCUUCGAGGAAGGCGAGCAGUUUGCCAAGGAGAAUGGUCUCAUCUUUAUGGAGGCAUCUGCAAAAACUGCACAAAAUGUCGAGGAGGGCUUUGUCAAGACUGCUGGAGCAAUAUACAAGAAAAUUCAGGAUGGUGUCUUUGAUGUAUCUAAUGAGUCCUAUGGAAUCAAAGUUGGCUAUGCAGUUCCUGGCCAAGCUGGAGGUGCUGGUGCCUCGUCUUCCCAAGGUGGCAGCUGCUGCGGCUAA